rnacentral:tRNA from 2 species
GGCGGGUUAGCAAAGAGGUUAUGCAGCGGAUUGCAAAUCCGUUUAGGGCGGUUCGAUUCCGCCACCCGCCUCCA